rnacentral:lncRNA from 1 species
UUUUCUUUGGUUUCUUCAGAAUCAGGCAGUGCACUGAUGCAUUAAAGAAGUAAAGCAGCGUUUGAAAGCAUCACCUAGAGAGGGGUUUAGAACCGAGCUAUUUCCACCUGCUGCUGCGGUCAAACAAACCAAUAAUGCAGUUGACCUUCCUCUUCAUCCUGGGUUUGGCUGUGACAUCUAUCCCAGCAAAUGAAACAAAAAGCAACAAUAAUUAUGAGACCACCGAAACACCCUUUUCGACCACUACGCCUGUUGGCAUACACAGCUCUCCUAACAUGACGAGUAACUUAACUCCUAACAUCACGAGCAACUUAACUCCUAACAUCACGAGCAACUUAACUCCUAACAUCACGAGCAACUUAACUCCUAACAUCACGAGUAACUUAACUAACACCAGCAGUAUGAACAACACCCAUGAUACCAGCACCAAUGGGACCAACACCACCAACAGACCGAUGAUAACAAGAACAGAUGAUAGAAGGACUACAGAUAAACGUGCGACUCGAGUACCCUUGUCCACAUCUAAACCCAUCACUUCUUCUAAAAGCACCACAGCAACCACCAAGACAAACAACAACACCAGCAGUGCUGGAAGUGACAGCACUGGCAUCAUCAUCCUAGUUGUCAUCAUCGUUGUUGCUGUUGUGUGUGCAGCUGUUUGUUACUUCACAAAGAAAAGAGGGAGACGUUACUCUGUUGAUCCCACUUCCAGACCUGAUGAAGCUAACAUCCCUCUGAGCACCGUGGAGCCUGAGCUCCCCGCUGAUGCUGCACCCCAAAACGGUCUACAAACCUUUGAAAGUGCAGAAACUACUGCAAAAGAGCCAGAAGAACCAGAUGAGGUGAAACCUGAAGUACAGGAGGAGCAGAAAGCUGAAGCUGAUAAAGCUGUUGUUGAACCCAGUGCUGAGUCUGCAGCUCCAGCUCCAGACAGCCAUCCAGACAAAGCCAAAGCCGAUGACGUUGAGUCGAGUCCUCCUGCACCUGUGGAGAGCACUGCAGAGGAAAAAACUGAUGACGAAGCCGUCGUGUCCAACAAGACCUCGGUGGAGACGCUGAUGGAGACGAAUGAGAACAACAGCAACAACGCUGACUUCAGUCAGAACAGAGACAUUAAAUGGAGCAACAUCUUCUGGGAAGUCCCUCUCCACUCUCCGGUGUGAGAAAUGACGGCCGCCCUUCACCCAUGCUGUUCCAGGUCACAGGUCAGACAGUCCUAAUGAAAGGGUACGCAGUGACUGCAGGAGAAUAAUGUGGCCUCAAUGUCAGAGUCAACUGGCUCACAUUCUUUGUCCGUCAUUGAGCAAGUCUCUGCAGAAUUGGAUGUGCAGCGGCUGCUGUGAUGUGUCAUCCAAACCAGGAUACAUUUCAGCAAAGACCACUGCACAUGACCCAACCUGAAAACAGUGGAAACAAUAUGUGCAAGAAAAAUACAGAGACAUUAGAAACGGAUUAUUUUCCAACCCGAGUGUCACUUUAAAGUAGCUUCGUCACUCUCAUUCAUACACCCUUCCUCUCUUAUUUGUCUUACAGCCUUUAUUCUGAUUUCUAUGCUGCUGCAUGAAAGGAAUGAAGAUAAGAGUGGUCUUUCUCACUUCUACUUUCCCUUUUGAGCCCCACCUCUAUCUUUUUAUUUUAAGAGAUGUCAAAGUAUGGCAGGCCUUGACCUUCUUUUACAUUAAAGACAUUUUACAACAACAGUGUCACAUUUUCUACAUUCUUCCUUUGUGCUUUGAUAAGUGCCAUGCUAACCAUUUACAGGGCUUAAUUUAGGAUUGCGUGUUGCACUUCUUUACACCAUGCUGCCGGUGAAGACAAUUUGUAGAGGACACAGAAAUAGUGUGCUGAUGUGGGCUCACAGGGGGGGUCGUUCUGAGCGGUCACACCUCUGACAUUUUACGAUCUGUGAAUGUGUUGCCUCUACUUUGCCUGGUUACAAAGUCUUUGUACUUAUUUGCAACUCGUUUUGUUAAAAGAAGGCAGUGACAGCUCGGUGUAUAAAUUAUUGAUUAGCACACAAACUGUCAGCUUGUGCGUGAGGCUCUUCUGAAACUAAAUUAUAUGUUGAUGGGAAUUAGUUAAGGAUUGCAUAAACUGCUUUUUGGGAGUGAAUAUCUGUAUCACAGAAAUGUGAAAUCAAACACUGUUAAGCCUGUUUGAUUUGAUCCCAAUGCAGCUGACCCUGUGACCCCCCCCCC